rnacentral:rRNA from 1 species
AUGGAUCUCAUGAGCUGGAACUGCCGGGGAGGGAAUUCCCGGACAGUUCGCGAGCUAGCGACGCUAGUGCAGUCGCAUUCCCCCAGGAUGGUGUUUUUGUGUGAGACAAGACAGAAAGAAGAGAAACUGAAAAGAUUGAUAGGCCGUCUGGGCCUCAAAGGCUUUACUAGUGUGGACAGCAAUGGCUUCAGCGGGGGCCUUGCUCUUUUUUGGCAUGAAAAUCUGCUAGUUGAUAUUCUGGACAAGGAUGAGCGCUACAUCAAUGUGGUGGUUCGUUUACAUGCUGACGCCGAACAAUGGAGGGUAACCUUUGUUUACGGGGAGCCGCGUGUUGAGAAUCGUCAUCUUAUGUGGCAGAAACUUCAAUCCCUAUUCACCACCUCGGAUCUUCCUUGGCUGGUAAUUGGGGAUUUCAAUGGGUGUCUAUGGGAUUUCGAGCACUUGUCGGCGACACCAAGACCUGAAAUACAAAUGACGGCCUUUCGUGAUGUGUUUGAGGUAUGUCAGCUGGUGGAUAUCGGUUUCUCAGGUGUGCCGUUCACAUAUGAUAACAAGAGAAGCGGGACAACAAAUGUGUGUGUACGUUUGGAUCGUGCUGUGGCCUCUAGUGCAUGGCGUAACAUGUUCGCCUUCUCCUCGGUGUCCCAUGUGGUAUCACCUUGUUCUGAUCAAGUGGUUCUGAUUCUUAAGGGUGCUCCAGACCCUGGACCGAGUGCAUGA